rnacentral:rRNA from 1 species
UACGAAGGGGGCUAGCGUUGCUCGGAAUCACUGGGCGUAAAGCGCACGUAGGCGGAUUGCUAAGUCAGGGGUGAAAUCCUGGAGCUCAACUCCAGAACUGCCUUUGAUACUGGCGAUCUCGAGUCCGGGAGAGGUGAGUGGAACUGCGAGUGUAAAGGUGAAAUUCGUAGAUAUUCGCAAGAACACCAGUGGCGAAGGCGGCUCACUGGCCCGGUACUGACGCUGAGGUGCGAAAGCGUGGGGAGCAAACAGG